CGGAUAUUCCAUUUUACAUGGAUAACUGUGGUAAUUCUAGAGCUAAUACAUGAACAAGUGUUCCAACCUCGGUUUCACGACCGAUGGAAGGAUCGCAUUUAUUCGUACAAGACCAAUGAUCCACUUACCAUACUUGCACCCUGUUUAGGAGUUAGGGACCCUUCGGGGCCCCGCUCCAAAUAAGGACUUGUAUGGGGAUCUAGUAAUUCUUCGGAAUUACAAUGCUCAAGAUGACUCUGAAUAACUGAGCAAAUCGUAUGGCCUCUGUGCCGACGAUGUAUCCCUCAAGCAACUGCCUUAUCAACUGUCGAUGGUAGGUUAUGCGCCUACCAUGGUUGUAACGGGUAACGGGGAAUCAGGGUUCGAUUCCGGAGAGGGAGCCUUAGAAACGGCUACCACAUCCAAGGAAGGCAGCAGGCGCGCAAAUUACACAAUCCCGGUACGGGGAUGUAGUGACGAAAAAUAACGAUACGGGACUCUAUUGAGGCCCCGUAAUCGGAAUGAGCACAACUUAAAUCCUUUAACGAGGACCUAUUGGAGGGCAAGUCUGGUGCCAGCAGCCGCGGUAAUUCCAGCUCCAAUAGCGUAUAUUAAAGUUGCUGCGGUUAAAAAGCUCGUAGUUGGAUUUCAGUCUCACCUAUUGGGUCCACUGAUUAAAGGGAACAGACGUGUAUGGCAGAGACCUUGCUGGUUCACUCUUAACGGAGGGUUCCUGUCAAGGCCCCGCAUCACUCUUUCCUGGUGGUUAUCUUUAUAGUGUGUCGACAGAAACUGUCCAAUAUUUGCUACCGAUGCUCUUCAUUGAGUGUCGGUUCAAGCAAUUGGGCCCUUUACCUUGAACAAUUCAAAUUGCUCAAAGAAGGCGUCCAAAACCUCGUAAGAGGUGCCUAAUCACGGUAUGGUUACACUUUCAUCUUCACGGAUGCAUCGUGUCUUCCAUCACCUUACCUUGAAUGAUCUUGCAUGGAAUAAUAGAAUAGGACCUUGGUCUUAUUUUGUUGGUCUUAAAGACACAAGGUAAUGAUUAAGAGGGACAGACGGGGGCAUUUGUAUUGCGACGCUAGAGGUGAAAUUCUUGGACCGUCGCAAGACAAACUACAGCGAAAGCAUUUGCCAAGAAUGUUUUCAUUAAUCAAGAACGAAAGUUAGAGGUUCGAAGGCGAUCAGAUACCGCCCUAGUUCUAACCAUAAACGAUGCCAACCAGCGAUCAUUCUGAGUAACAUUUACAUGACUCGAAUGGAAGCUUCCGGGAAACCAAAGUUUUUGGGUUCCGGGGGAAGUAUGGUUGCAAAGCUGAAACUUAAAGGAAUUGACGGAAGGGCACCACCAGGAGUGGAGCUUGCGGCUUAAUUUGACUCAACACGGGAAAACUCACCCGGCCCGGACACUGAAAGGAUUGACAGAUUGAGAGCUCUUUCUUGAUUCAGUGGGUGGUGGUGCAUGGCCGUUCUUAGUUGGUGGAGUGAUUUGUCUGGUUAAUUCCGAUAACGAACGAGACUCUCACCUACUAAAUAGACUUGCAGUUUAAACUGUAGUACUCCCCCUCAGGUGACCUGUGGGUGGUAGUAUCUUUUGAUCCUUCGGGUGAAAAAGCUCUACUACCAUCAGCCCGCAGAAUCAUUCUGAGGUAAGGAUGCUUCAGCACUGUAAGGACUUCUUAGAGGGACAAGGGGCGCCUCUAAGCCUCACGAAACAGAGCAAUAACAGGUCUGUGAUGCCCUUAGAUGUCCGGGGCCGCACGCGUGCUACACUGAAGUGGUCACCGUGCAAAAUGUUUCCUGCUCCGAAAGGAGUGGGUAACCCCUUGAACCCAUUUCGUGAUGGGGAUUGGGCAUUGUAAUUAUUGCCCAUGAACGAGGAAUUCCCAGUAAGCGUGAGUCAUUAGCUUGCGUUGAUUACG
rnacentral:rRNA from 1 species